rnacentral:rRNA from 1 species
UCAGAUGAGACUGCCGGUGACAAACCGGAGGAAGGUGGGGACGACGUCAAGUCAUCAUGGCCCUUACUGUCCUGGGCUACACACGUGCUACAAUGGCCGGUACAGAGUGAAGCGAGACCGCGAGGUGAAGCAAAACGCAGAAAGCCGGUCUCAGUACGGAUUGGAGUCUGAAACUCGACUUCAUGAAGUUGGAAUCGCUAGUAAUCGCGCAUCAGCAUGGCGCGGUGAAUACGUUCCCGGGCCUU